rnacentral:rRNA from 1 species
CUCCCUCCAAGCGUAGUUUUCGACACCGAGGGUGCUGGGGCUUAUGGGGCACAGGGACACGGCACAACAGACUAGCUUCGGGGCAGAGAGACGAGACGAGACAGAGGAGACGAGUCGAGUGGGGGAAAGGGGUCUAGGCUGCGCUUACCGAAGGAUGCUGCCGCUCCUGCUGAGGCCGGCCGCCGCGGGCGGCGUCGUCGUCGUGGCGGGCAGGCCGCCCCCGUCGCCGCUGGAGCGGCGCUCGCGGUUCGACCACCGCCUCCGCCGGUUCCGCCGCGAGGUCCUGGUGUUGGACCCCUUCCAGCUGUUCCCGGCGUGGCGACUCCGACGGCGGCUGGACGAGGUGCGCCGGAGGGAGAUGCCGUUCGAGCUCCCGUUCGGGCAGCCGCCGAUGGAGUUGUUCCGGCUCCUGAUGGAGGUGUUCAAGCCGCGGUUCCUCCCCCCGCCGCCUCCGCCAUUCGUAGUCUGGUCACCAGUGCCCCCAAGUCCGCCGUCCAUGCUCCUCCUCCUGCUCAUGUCCUUCUUCGGAUGAUCACCACCACCCUCCAUGCUUGUCCUACUACUCAUGUUCUUCUUCGGGUCACCACCACCCUCCAUACUUCUCCUACUGCUCAUGUCCUUCUUCGGAUGAUCGCCACCACCGCCGAUGCCUCCACCUUCCAUACUCCCUCUUCUACUCAUGUUCUUCUUCGGAUGGUCACCACCGAUACCACCCCCCUCCAUACUCGUUCUUCUACUGAUGUUCUCCGGGGGAUCACCACCGAUACCACCCCCUUCCAUGCUUCUUCUGCUACUCAUGUUCUUCUUCGGAUCACGUCCACCUAUACCUCCACCUCCUCCCUCUAUGCUUCUACUCAUGUUCUUCGGUUGGCCACCGGUACGACCUCCCUCCAUGCUCCUUCUACUACUCAUGUUCUCCGGAUCACCACCUUCGGUACCUCCCUCCAUACUUCUUCUCCUGAUGUUCUUCUUCGGAUCACCACCUCCUUCCAUGCUUCUUCUACUGAUGUUCUUCUUUGGAUCACCACCUCCUUCCAUACUUCUUCUACUGAUGUUCUUCUUCGGAUCACCACCUUCGGUACCUCCCUUCCUACUCAGUCUUCCGCCACCGUAACCUCUGAUGUAAUUUGAACGUGUCCCAAAGUACUUCUUCGUCCUACCGCUUCCACCCGUGUUCUUCUGAUCACCGGUACCUCCUCCUCCCAUACCUUUCCUCCUUUUACUUCUCCUAUCGCCGUUCUUCUUUGUACCACCGGCGGGACUCUCACCUUUUCUGCUCAGCCUCCCGUCACCGUACCGUCUGAUGGACUUUGAACGUGUCCCAAAGUACUUCUUCCUACCACUUCCCCCUUCACCUCGACCAUACCCCCUGAUGAAUUUCGAACGUCUCCCCAAGUACUUCUUCGCAACUAAAUAUUGACUAGAACGAUGGUAACGCUAACUACUUCCUGAAACACAAACCAAUCAGGGAACAGAACAAAUUGUAGACAUACAACACCUUAAAGGAUCCUAAAGGUGGCUGUUUCGACAGAACGAACACGACACACGUUACAUGACUUACGGGUUCCACGAUGAAAGCUAAAGUCCUCUUAUUUUCUAACCUACUUAUUUCGACACAAUAAGUACGAAACAUUUAUCAAGACUUAACUUUAUUACUAACAUCACAAUAGUAUUAUUUUCACAACUUAUCUUGAACACAAAAGAUCACCUAUAAUA